UACGUAGGGGGCGAGCGUUAUCCGGAAUUAUUGGGCGUAAAGAGUACGUAGGCGGGAGAUUAAGCGCAGGGUUUAAGGCAGAGGCUUAACCACUGUAUGCCCUGUGAACUGAUCUUCUUGAGUGCAGGAGGGGAAAGCGGAAUUCCUAGUGUAGCGGUGAAAUGCGUAGAUAUUAGGAGGAACACCAGUGGCGAAGGCGGCUUUCUGGUCUGUAACUGACGCUGAGGUACGAAAGUGUGAGGAGCAAACA
rnacentral:rRNA from 1 species